rnacentral:rRNA from 1 species
GCUGGCGGCGUGCCUAAUACAUGCAAGUCGAGCGGACAGAAGGGAGCUUGCUCCCGGAUGUUAGCGGCGGACGGGUGAGUAACACGUGGGUAACCUGCCUGUAAGACUGGGAUAACUCCGGGAAACCGGAGCUAAUACCGGAUAGUUCCUUGAACCGCAUGGUUCAAGGAUGAAAGACGGUUUCGGCUGUCACUUACAGAUGGACCCGCGGCGCAUUAGCUAGUUGGUGGGGUAAUGGCUCACCAAGGCGACGAUGCGUAGCCGACCUGAGAGGGUGAUCGGCCACACUGGGACUGAGACACGGCCCAGACUCCUACGGGAGGCAGCAGUAGGGAAUCUUCCGCAAUGGACGAAAGUCUGACGGAGCAACGCCGCGUGAGUGAUGAAGGUUUUCGGAUCGUAAAGCUCUGUUGUUAGGGAAGAACAAGUGCGAGAGUAACUGCUCGCACCUUGACGGUACCUAACCAGAAAGCCACGGCUAACUACGUGCCAGCAGCCGCGGUAAUACGUAGGUGGCAAGCGUUGUCCGGAAUUAUUGGGCGUAAAGGGCUCGCAGGCGGUUUCUUAAGUCUGAUGUGAAAGCCCCCCGGNUCAACCGGG